AAAAUUAAUUCACUUUUUUGCUUUUUUUUUUCCUGGUAUUGUAUAUGCUUUUUAAUUUAUUUCUUUAUGUACAUGUUCCAAAAAACUCAUUCACUUAUGAAGGUAUGAGGGUAUCAAGAAUUUAUGGCUGAUAUUCAUCUCUCUCCAAGAUAGGGUUAGUUAUAUUGUAUGGAAAGGGAUGUUAACAUGUUUCUGUUAUCAGCAAAAUCAACUGUAUUUUGUUUAAGGGCUGUUUUCAGAUAUGUACAUAAGAUUUGGCAUGUGAUUCUAUUUUUAUACCAUGGAACCAAAAUCUCUCUGGAGCUGAUGGUUUUGUGGAUUUUCUUAGUGGAACCGUAAUAUUUACCAAGGUAACAAAAUCUCUCUGGAGCUGAUGGUUUUGUGGACUUUCUUAGUGGAGCCAUAAUAUUUACCAAGGUAGCAGAAGCCUCUUAGUCCACUAAUAAUGUAUUUUUCAAAAGAAAUAAUAAUAACAUUAAAUUUAAGUUUCAUUUUUAUUAUUCCUAAAUUACUUAGUAUAAAGUCACAGAGUAGAGAAAGAGAGAAAUGUCAUUUAAGAUAAUAAGAAACUUCAAGACACAAAUGCCUGCUGUUCACCACUUACAACAGGAAUAGUCCAAAACUGCCAGCAGGCAUGCCAGCCCUCUGUGCAAAGCUGGAAUCAACAGCUACUGAGAUGUUUUUUUUUUUUUUGCAACUGUAUGAUGAAGCAGCAGGAAAUGGUGUUAAGAUGCAAGAAUUGAAAGGUACUCUGCAGGAUUUACCAGACUGCACUAUUUAUGUUGCACUCCCACCAACGAAGCAGCAGGAAAUGGUGUUAAGAUGCAAGAAUUGAAAGGUACUCUGCAGGAUUUACCAGACUGCACUAUUUAUGUUGCACUCCCACCAACGAGGCAGUGGAAAUGCAGAAAAAUAAUCAUCAAGGAGAUAAUGCAUGAGGCAAAUGGUGUCUGGCUGGGUUCCUCCUAUGUAUAAAAAAGACCCCAUUCAUUAGACAAUUGCUGCCUCACUUCACUGCCACUGGACCUGAGUUCUGCAGAGGACAAGUCCUUGGCAAAGCCACACAAGAAGCUUUCUCAUAAGCACAGUCUCUGUGUGACAGGAUAAUGCAGCAGCAUUGUCCCAAGUCAUCAUUCAAUGUAGGUUCAGACCCCAUGCCACAUUUUUUGUGAUUUCUGUGGACUAGCCCUAUGCUUCAAAAAUUAAAUACUGUCACUAGGACAUUGUAACACAAUGAGAACAGAUGGGGACACUGUAGGAUCUGGAGGAAUACCCCAGUAACAGAGUUACUGAAGAGUUGACACAGUCACCAUAAAGGGGGAAAAAAGGAUUAGGCACCCUUCAUAUUUUUCCCCCAUCCUGCCAUGUCUCUGUAGGUACACUUGCUCAGGUGGAAGCAGUAACUAUAAAGGGAAACAAUUUAUAUCAUCUGCUGCAAAGUUUAUAUUAUUUUGUGACAGUUUCUACCUGUGCAGAUUGACUACCACACCAUCCUCUUCUUUGACGGAAAGAGAAGCAGAACAGGAAGGUAGAGGAUGAAAAGUCUGGGCUGUGCAUAGCAGAACAGGGGCCACAGGGUGAGAGAAAGCCCAAAGCAGAGCCUGGAACCUCUUACAUCUUUUCAUUCUGCACUAAAGAGAGAUGUGGCCGAAUCCGUGUCACCCCUCAUAAGGCAGAAAACUUCAGUACCUUGAGAGAGGAGAAGAAAAGCCCCUUAGAGAUGCAGUAGAAAUACUCAACUAUUACUCUACCAAACUCCUACUUAAAUUCCAAACAGCAAAAUGCAUUUCAUUUUUAUAUUCAAAUGUCAACACAAUAGGCUUGCAUGAUUAGAUGGAUGCCUUUUUUCUCUAUAAUGCUGAUAAACUAUGUGAAGAUGAAAAGGAAUAAGAAAUGCUAGUAUUUUACUACUUAGAAUUCAGCUGUUUUAACACCAAAAUAAAGUACGUUUUAGUUCCAAGGACUUUUGACAGCAAGCACUAUUAUUUAAAAAGAUUAGUAUAAUUCAGGAAGAACACAGCAUUUACUUAAGAAUUAACUAGUUAUUUUCAGCUCAAGCAUACAUUAGUUUUCUUUGGAUUCUUUUUCUUAUAGUUCAUUCCAAAACCUGCUUUAUAAAGAAACAUUUGUGAUGUAUGAGAGAUUAUUCUGUUUACUCACUAGUCAGAAAUAUUUAGGUGAUUAAAUGUGCACUUUACAUUAAAGGAGUGAGGUAUUGCUUCCACUUUGUGUAUAAUCCCUUACAGAACUGUAGACUGAUAAUGUAGAUAAAGAUAGAAUAUAAUAAACUGUAUAAAACCUUAUAUUUUUUAACAGUAGGGAAAGAUUAAAAGUCUUCCUUUACCUUAGAAAAAAGAAAAAGUAUUAUUUUCAGCAAUAAUUUUAUAGUAGAAGAAAAUGAAUUUAUUUAUACCAUUUCCAGCCCAAGCUGACAUGAUUUGUUGCAAAAGAUACAUUUUUUGUGCAACUUCUACUCUUGUUUGAGCUAUCAUAGAAAUUAAUAUAAUCCGUCAGAAUAGAAUUUGGCCUAAAAUGUGAAACUGCUGAAUGAGCUAGUAAUACAUACAGUACCCCUGUGAGGUAGUAAAAUAACUUUUUCCACAUCUAACUGCACAAUCAUAUGGUUAUUUAGAUGAGUACAAUAUCAGAUUUCACGGCUUUUUUUUUCCUUUAUGAGACAACUAAGCAGAAAACUAUAAAUCUCAAACCAGACUACUUGUUAGUAAUAAGACGUGUGUUCUGUUUUGGAGUGGUUACAGAAAAGGUGUCUUCAGGCAACAAUAACCUACAGUAAUUACUGAAGUACUAUCAGUUUGGAAGGCUUGUGGGAGCAGGUUAGAUUGCUAGAAGCAGUGGAUUAAUGCCAGAAAAAGUGUUGGCUCAUCCUGUCUUCUUGAUGUUCUCGAAUAUUACUGCACUUCUUCACUUUCAUCUUUGUGAAAUAUGCAAGAAACAUUUCUUAUGUUUGUAUUUUAAUGUACAUCAGAGUGAUAUUAACAGAUGAAAUGGACUAAAGUAGCUACUGAUGUUCCAUGAAUGUGGAAUUGUGAGCUGUAUAAAAAGAAAUUGUGCCAUAAGCUUUUGACAUAAAGGUUUAACAUAAUAUAUGGUAUUUUGUGUGCUAGUGAUCCUGGCUUUUUAAAGGCUACAGCAAGAAAAAAAAAAUAAAAUUUAUAUGAUAGUGUAUUAAUAAACUGUCUGUGUGUCUUCAAAAUAUUCUUCUGUGAGUUUUCUCUGACAGCAAUUUCAUCUCAAAAUACUUCCUUUUUUGGUAAAAAUCUGUAAAUGUGUUGUGCAUGGAUUUGAUUAGAUUCCUUUUUAUUGUAUUACAGUAUCAUAUUGCACUUAAC
rnacentral:lncRNA from 12 species